AAAUCAUUCUGGCUGCAAUAUCUGUCACCCCAUUGAUCACCAGGGUUAAUUUGGCUGAGCUGGCUUUCUUCCUUGAUGUCUCCUUGUGUGUUCUUCCUGGAACUGCACACUGCACUUUGGUUGAAGAGUGCAUCUAUUCAGGAAGACCUUCCCUGAAUAGAGGAUUGAUCUAUGCUCCCCUUCUAGAACUUCCAAAUGAAAAAGCAGGUUGACCAAGCCAUGGAAGCAAGCCAGUAAGCAGCACUCCUCCAUGGCCUCUGCAU
rnacentral:snRNA from 1 species